rnacentral:rRNA from 1 species
UACGUAGGGUCCGAGCGUUGUCCGGAAUUACUGGGCGUAAAGAGCUCGUAGGUGGUUUGUCACGUUGUUCGUGAAAACCCACAGCUCAACUGUGGGCGUGCGAGCGAUACGGGCAGACUAGAGUACUGCAGGGGAGACUGGAAUUCCUGGUGUAGCGGUGGAAUGCGUAGAGAUCGAGAGGAACACCCGUGGCGAAGGCGGCUCCCUGGCCGAACACUGACGCUGAGACGCGAAAGCGUGGGGAGCGAACGGG